UACGUAGGGGGCUAGCGUUGUCCGGAAUCAUUGGGCGUAAAGAGCGUGUAGGCGGUCCGGUAAGUCCGCUGUGAAAGUCGGGGGCUCAACCCUCGAAUGCCGGUGGAUACUGUCGGGCUAGAGUGCGGAAGAGGCGAGUGGAAUUCCUGGUGUAGCGGCGAAAUGCGCAGAUAUUAGGAGGAACACCUAUUGCGAAGGCAGCUCGCUGGGACGUAACUGACGCUGAGACGCGAAAGCGUGGGGAGCAAACAGG
rnacentral:rRNA from 1 species